rnacentral:rRNA from 1 species
UACAGAGGGGGCAAGCGUUGUUCGGAAUUACUGGGCGUAAAGGGCGCGUAGGCGGCCGCCUAAGUCAGACGUGAAAUCCCUCGGCUUAACCGGGGAACUGCGUCUGAUACUGGAUGGCUUGAGUUUGGGAGAGGGACGCGGAAUUCCAGGUGUAGCGGUGAAAUGCGUAGAUAUCUGGAGGAACACCGGUGGCGAAGGCGGCGUCCUGGACCAACACUGACACUGAGGAGCGAAAGCCAGGGGAGCAAACGGG